rnacentral:rRNA from 1 species
UACGGGGGGAGCAAGCGUUGUUCGGAUUUACUGGGCGUAAAGGGCGCGUAGGCGGCCACCGCAAGUCGGUUGUGAAAUCUCUGGGCUUAACCCAGAAAGGUCAACCGAUACUGCGGGGCUAGAGUGCAGAAGGGGCAACUGGAAUUCUCGGUGUAGCGGUGAAAUGCGUAGAUAUCGAGAGGAACACCUGCGGCGAAGGCGGGUUGCUGGGCUGACACUGACGCUGAAGUGCGAAAGCGUGGGGAGCGAACAGG